GAGAAAGGGUGAUGAAGCAGUCUCUGGGAACUGCGGCUAAUUACACAUGACCUGUUUCUUUGGGCUAAAGUUCUUCAUUGGCUACAAAGCCCAUCUCCUGAUCUAUACUUGAGUCUCAGGAGCUUUUCUUUAUAUUGGGAAGAGACUGAAUAGAAGUGAUCACUGGAUCGCAGGGCUCAAUGAGGCCAGCAGUCAUUAUUUAAUGCGUUUCGCUCCUGCCAAGCCAGAGGGAGAGCAAGUGGAGAGACAAGACAGACUGCCAGUUAGCCCCUUGUUGAGAGGCUCCUGAGUGCCCAGCCCUGCCCUGGGCUUGGUACUUGCUCCCAGAACUUGACAAGCAUCCCUCUGAAAGGGGUAACACUGAUCAGGAAUGCAAGAGCCCUGGGUCCAGCCAGAGUUCUGCCUUGAACCAACCACAUGACUUUGGUCCAGCUGGCCUUCUGGCCUCAGUUCCUCACCUAUAGAAUGAAAGGUUUGGACCACACAAUCUGUAAGGUCCCUUCCAGCACAGACACUCUUCUCUCCAAUUCUUUGCCACAGAGGAGGGGAUGGAGGACGGCCUGGUGGUUGAGAGCCAGGGUAAAUGCAGAGAGAAAUCGGAGAGAGAGAGUACAAAGAGAUGAGUUAGAUGCAGUAGAGAUGAUGGAUUGAGGGUUGAGGACUGUGUACAGACUCAGAAAACUCAGUCUGCAUAGCACAUGAUGCUGGCUCUGCAGCUGAGGCUCCUGGAGGGCUGAGAGGACAGCAGGGGAAGGGGAGUGAGUCCCAUUGUGACCUGAGUACUGAUCAGCCUGGUGCUAGAUCUCUCAAACUAGAAGAGCAGGCCCAGCUUCAUUCAGACCCAGGCCGAACUGUCUGAGCUGCCCUUCUCCAGCUCAUGCCUCUGUAUCUGGACAUGCUGUGGGGAGUGAGGGUAGAGAAAAGGAGAGGAGGGUAGUCAGAAACCCUUUCAGAAGCAGUGCCUCAGUGUCCUUCUUCUUUUGGGGUCUAGGGCAGCUUCAAGUGGGCUCCAGAUCUAAAGCCUGCUGAUUGUCCAUGAGCGGCCUGUGGCAGGGCAGCCCGAGGCAGAGAAAGAGACUAGGCUCAGAGGCAGAGGCUGAGCAGAGGCUGCAGGAUGGGCCUGAGCCUAGUGUCAGUGGUGCACCUGACCCAAGGCAUCUGUGGACACUUGGCUGUCUAUGAUCCAAGGCCUGGGCUGGACGGGCCUCAGAGGGUGUGUGUGAAAACACUGGGAGACACUUCAAAGCCCUUGCUAUAAACAAUGUGAAAAGAAAAUCACCAUUGUUAACCUUCAAGCCUGGACUCCUGAGCUCCUCUGUCUCCCUCAAGUGGGUUGGCCCCAUGCCCUUAGGCAGAAUGCAGAAGGCAGCAGCUCCUGUCUCUGAGAGUUUUCGUUCUGGGGUUUCCUCCAAAAUUUUGGGCUGGAUAUCCCUUUGCAGAUGAAGCAACUGAGCUUGUCCCACUGAAAUGAGUGGCUCAGGGGAUUGGUUAAAAGCAGGGACUUGGGAGUCACAAGGACUUUGGUUUGAAUCCCAGAUCACCCACUUAUUAGCUGGGUGACUUAAGGCGAUUUCCUUAUAAUAGGAGACUCAUCCUCUCAUCUGAAAAAUGAGGACAAAACUAAUAUCCUCCUCAUAAAGCUGUUGUGAGGAUUAAAUGGAUCAUCUAUGUAAAGAGCUUAGCACAGUAUCCGGUUCAUAAUAAGAGGCUGUUAAUACUACUGCUACUACUACUAUUAUUAUUAUUAUUAAGUUCCUGGCAGAGCCAGACCUAGAAUUCAGGUCACCUUACUCUAGGUAAGUGCUAUUCUGUAACUUCACCUUGGCCUGAGCUGUUUUGGGUUCCUCAGAGGCAGGGCGAUGAUUGAGAUGAACUCUGGACCUUUGAGCUUCAGAGCAGUUCUCCUGGUGUCUGCACUCAACUCUACCUGGGUAGUUCUAUAUCCCCUACUUCCAUUUCCCCACCUCUCAGAGCCAUAUAUGAGUGGGCUGAAGGCCUUCUGACCUCCCCUUUCACACAUGGCAGCUGCCUCUCACUGGGCACACCUGAGUCUUUCUCCUGACCUGCUGUUUGUUCUGGGCCAUUGAGGGCUGUUUGCUUUCCUAAGCCAAGCUGCCAAUGGCCAAUUUUCCAUGAAUCAUAAUCGCCUUACCCCAUUAGGCAGGAUAAUUAAGAUAGGAUGGUGGGCCGUUUGCUCAGCACACACAGGAAUCAACAGCUGUCCUGGCUCUCCAGAGAACCCCAGUAUCUGUCCACAGCUGCAGCUGCCUCUCUCCCCAUGAAACCUGGCAUCAUUCCCCCACCCUGGGGGAUUGGAGGGGGUGGCAAACUGUCUACAGUCCCUGGGGUCCUUCAGGGAAUUCCACAAGGUAUUACUGAGCACAAUUGCAGGAGAUGAGCUGCCCAGUUUGCUGAGAGCUGGUUGUAACUAACAUUUACUGGUAUUAAUUUACAUCCAUUGAAUACCUCCUGUGUGCCAGGCCCCAUGCUAAACAUAUUACAUAGAUGAUCUCAUUUAAUCCUCACAACAGCCUUCUAACAUUGCUAUUGUUAUUAACCCCAAUUUACAGAUGAGAAAACUGAGGCUGUCAGAGGUUAAAUAAAGUACUCAAAGAUAGAGCUGGGAUUUGAAUUUUGGCAGUCUGACUCCAGAGUCUACGCUCUUAAUUGCCUCUUCUUUGUCUAUGUGUAGGAAGUACAAAUGUUAAAUAGUUUUUCUUCUUUUUCACCAUUUUCCUAAAUAGUAUUUUUAUCUACAAAUUCCAUUCAGGCAACUCCUGCCUUGGAGGGCAUGGUGCUGAAACCUUGGUUAUUCUGUAAUUAACAGAAGGUUACAGAUCCCCUAGCUCCUUGGUUAUAUCCUGAAGACAGUUAAAUGAAGAAAGCUAAAAAUGUUGAAGGAAAAAUAAUACUGUGUUAUGAAACCAAAGAGAAAUCACUUCGAGAUCCAAAUGUUAAUGUCAUUGAGAAACACCUUGACUGACACACCCAGAAUAAUGUUUGAGCAAACAUCCGGGCUCUCCAUGGCUCAGUCAAACUGGCACAUCAUACUCUGAGUGAGAUUGGAAGACACUGAGGCUGAGUGACUUGGGCAAUGAUUCAGCAAUACCAACUGUGAACUCUCAAUGACUUGGGCUAAUGAGAAGAAUGACAUGGAUAAUCUAAAAAUAAUGGACAACUGGAAAAAACAUCAGCCUGCUUGUGGAGCACACCAGGUCAUGAUUUCUGCAGUGGGGGAGGAGCUGAUUUGCUUCAUUCAUUCUAGAACCUCUAUUCUAGCUGAUGUUAAAUCUGGUUGUUUUUGAGAGCACUCAUAGCCAUCAUGCCCAUCUCUGUAUCACAGGGGUUUGGGAAAAGAAACUCUUCUGGCCAAGGAUGGAAGAAUAAAAACAUAACUGAGUUCCAGAUAUGCUAAUGUUUUCCACUAUUGCAUCUCUAAGAUAUCAGUAGGACCUGGAAAGGUGGCAAUGACCUCAUGGCUCCCAGGUGCUGGGGUUGCUGCAAUGGCUGGAGCUGAGAAAAACUUGAAGGUUUUAGAGAAGCUCUGCUUCCAAAUGAAGGGUGCAGAGUAAUUAAUGCCCCAAGCUACAUGGAGUGGCCAAUUGAAGAAGCUAUAAAAGUUGGAGCAGUGCAGGAAGCAACAUGCCUGGGAAAGGGGAUUUUUUUGCACUUUUUAUUGCAAUAAUGCAGGAACAUUCUAUGAAUAGAAUCCAGGGGAGCCAUCAAGUCCAUGUUCGGGUGACUGUAAGGGGAGGGAUUUUGAUCCUCUUCCGAGACAGCUGUCUUCAGGCUCAGGCACAGAUCACAUUAUUUUAUUAGAGCCUUCAGUAGUUAAGAGAAAGUUCUUGGUUGAAUUGGGAAAGGGACCUAAAAAUAACUGUAAAAUUUUGAGCUAGCUCUGCCCCUUUCUGUACUAGAUACAAUCCUGGAUGUAGAGAAUCAGAGACUUGAGGUUAAGACCUAGCUCUGGCACCAACUUGGACAAGUCACAUCACCUAUCUCCACCUAUCUCCUUCACUGUGAAAUGAGAGGAUUGGAAUAAAUGAUAUCUAAAUCUCCCCUGGCCUCCAUUGUUUCUGCUUUGUGGAUGCCGUUUUAUGGAUUGAGAAAUCAAAGUCUAUUGAUGAAAAUGAUUGCAAUGUGCAGAUUCACUUGGAACACAGAAAGACUCAGAGAGCUGGUCAGUACCAAAGGAGGUUGGAGUGCUUUGCCUUGAAUGCAAGAAAUAACGAUGUGCAAUGUCAUGGAGAAUUUUAAAACAAUAAUAGAUACAAGAAAAAGUCGGUCUGCUUUUUAUUAUCACCAUGCACUGACAGUUCUAAGCAAUGUCAGUGAUAAAAUAUUCCUCACCUUGAUGGACAACUCUCCCCAUCCUCCAUCCUUGGUAUACCACUGUUUAUCUGUACAAUUCUCUUUUUAUUCAAUGCUCUUUCAAUUCCUCUCACUACACAGGAAGAAAAUCUCUUUAAGGAGCUCUUUUUUUUUUUUUAACAUUUUUCUUUCUCUCUCUUUCUUUCUUUUUCUUUCUUUCUUUUUUUUUAACCACUUCUUAGCAUUGAUUUAUCCCUAGUAAAGAAGAAUGAUGAAUUACUUUGAGUUACUUCUUUAGUAAGAAAGGUAUGCUAUAGGAGAGAACUGGAAAGGGACCAAGGAAGCAGGGACAAUAAACAUGGAGAGACCAGAAUAUGGAAUGAGGUGUGGAAUGGGUACAGAAGGCUGGGUGGCUUGUGGGUCAAGUCCUGAACACAUGGCUUGUGGACAGGGUGUGGACAGCUCCCUGAAGGCCCAGGUUAGGUUGGGCAUGUGGUGCAUGAAAACAGACCCUGCCUGCCUCUCAGCUCAGAUUUCUCAGAUUUCCAGCACCCCGGCCCUUUCCUGGGGCUUCCCCUUGCCUCCCCUCAGGUGGAUUUCCUAAGAGUGAACCCUCUGUACUACACCUGCAGUCACACCACUCGCCAUCCUUCUCUGAGUUGGAUUUCCUCUCCACCCUGCCCUGGUGUCUAGAAUAUGAAAAGGCUUUGCCACCCUGGGGACUUGCAUAUCCUGCAUUGGUGCCUCCCUUUUGCAGGCCUGGCCCCCUUGGUGUUCAACCUUCUGCGAGCUAGCACCUGCUGCAGGGUGCAUUUGCGUGCUCCAAGGAGCCAUUCCUGUGACAAAAUAAUCUAUGCACAUUCUUUGGGGGCUGAAUGGGCUGCUCUGGAGAACAACAGAGGGGACCCCCAGAAAAAUAUGAGUGUGGUGGAGGAAGAGGCUGAAGGCAGGGUGUUAACCCUAAAGAUAGAGAUCUUUGUCCUCUCAAAUUAAAUAAGAAGUUUUGGGUUUUUGUUUGUUUGUUUGCAAAGUGAGAACCCAGUUAGUAGCAAUUAAAUUGACAACCCAAUUCAAACCAGUCCAAACUGAAGCCAUGAGGGCCAAGUUCUAGUUUCUUACAGAUUUACAAUUUGCUAAAUUUUCUCUUUGACACACACAUCAGACACAUAUUCCCUCUGGCACAUUCAGUUUCUAAUUGUUAUCCUAAGAUGAUUUAUUUAUUCUUACAGGAAGAGAAAAGAAAGGGGCAGCUUUUACCGAAGUUUGUCUUAUUUCUUUCACUCUUUCUUUUCUGAUUAUAAAAGCCACACAUGUUUACCAUAGAAAGCUUAGCACAUGAAUAUUCUAAACAGAGAUAAAUACUUCCUAUCAACCCCAUCAUUCAGAGAUGACCACUCUCCAUUUGCAGCUGUGGUUGACAUGGAAUCGUCUGGGGAGUUUUAUUGGCAAGAACUUGCUCUAUUCAGCUGAGCUUUUCCUUAAGAAGACCCCUGAGGUACCAGCCCUCUCUGAGCCUAGUGGAGGGGGACUUUCUGUUCAUGCUGAGGCCCCUUCCCAGCCUGACAGAAGCUUCUAGCUCUUCCUUAGUCAGUUCCCUGCAGGUCUGGGAACCUUGUGCUAGUUCUGUUCUCUGGCCUCUGUGCUGUCACCUGUGAAGCUGUGUCCUUUGAUUUCCUCUUGCAAUCCUCUUGUUGCUCACAGCUGGCAACCUUCAUAGUCAUUCACACUCACACACAGCAUUUCUUCAUUUAUUCACAUUAAGUCAUUUCACACUCAUUUUAAUAGUUAUUAUUCACAGUACUGUUAGUUUAUAGCACCGCACAACAUUAUAAUGUUGUAGUGAACAGUCGUCAUUUCUUUGUGCUGCUCAGCCAGCUACGCACCAUUCUGGGUUUGGGACCUCCCCACCCACCUGCCUGCUGGGUGUGCAGGCUGCUCUUCUUUCACGAUGGAAACCAAAGGGGGGAGUUCCUCUCUCCCAGCCCAAAGGCCAUGCAGGAGCCAGCCUGUGAUCUUGGUUCAGCCAAACAGGCAGUACCAUCUCACACUUUGACUCUUAAGAGAACUUUGCUAAGAAUCUGGAACAGGUCAGACUUUCCUUAUGGUGGCGGCAGAGCCUUUGAGAUUUGGCAGUCAGCCCUGUUGGUUUUGAGCACCCCUAGGCUGUGGUGGCCUAGGGCAGCACAGACACUGCCCUACCCAUAUGGGUCCUGAGGCCCUGGCUAGUCCCCACUGGCCAUCCUGGGUUUCCAUCGUGUUUCUGGGCCUUGUUCUCCAGCUUUCUGUUGAUUCUGUGAGUUAUCUGAUAUUCUUCAAAAAUAUUCCUUUUCAUUUAAUGCUAGCCAGAACUGCUUAAAGAACCCUAUACUGUUUGACUUUUGUCUUAAAGUUUGAAACGUUACUUAGUAAGUCACAACAUACUAAUUUGAAUUUCAUUUGUAACAUAACUUCUCUUUCCCUAGGCCACAUAAGUCAGGGAGAUGGAGAGAGAAACAGAGGGGACAAAAAUAUAGUCACAACAGUAUUUACCUGGCUUCAUUUCACCCUUAGCUGCAAUUGUCCGGAACUCAGGUCCUGCCUCCUAAGAUCCUCCACAAUAGCAUUUCUGCGCUUCUCACUGCCUUGUAGCCCUGUAGCCUUCUGCUUGUCUAUCUCAGAGACUGCUGGUAGUGCUGCUUUUGUAAGGGUUUUCUUCUUCCAUGGCCCAUUUGUCUGUGGGCUAUCUGGCUUGCUUGAGUCAUAUCCACUAAUCAACUAUUAAGGCUGAUUCUUCUCUUUGGAAGACCCAGAGAUUUCAGCUAUGAUUCUGGGCUACACUUUGAGCCUCAGAAAUGACCAUGUGUUUAGUGGUGACCUCACGGGCAAAUGCCGCAAUACUUUUCUGGUGCCUGUCUGCCUAAGUCUUUUCUUCUCUGUCACUCCAGUUCUGCUUGUCCCCAGGGAUAUGAUUUUCAAGUCUCAUGAUCUUAUGUCAAGUCACAUCCAAUAUGAUCUGACGGGUUGGGGAGCAGGGCAGGGUCGGAUGAUCUGGAAUGACUGCCUCCUGUGCUGGAAUAAGCGAUAAGCAGACAGGCCCCUCCGCAAGUGCUGGGAGGAACGCCAGUGCCGCAGGUAGAACACAGCAUGAAAGGGGUAUGUGGAGGACGACAGGCCCGGAGAAAUCCUGUCUCAGGCCAGAGUGGAAGGCCAGAAUGUGGACUUUUCCAAGCAAGCAGGUUUUGCAACAUCUCUAGGAACCUAGGAGCCAGCAGUGAACAGGAGUCUAGGUAGGCAGAUGGGAAGCAGCGUCCUAGACACUCAGCUAGGGUUUGGGACCAAGAAUGCAGAAAUGAAUAGCUCCGGGUUGGGGGUGGGAGGUGUGGCACAGAACUAGGACACAUCUGUAGAAAAGUAUUUUUCUCGAACCAUAUCUGUAUUUUAGGUAUUCCAAGUCUAAAUAUUCCAUGGUUAAAAAAGUUUGGAAAUUAUGGAAUUUUAAGUUCUUCUCUUGGAGAUUCAUGAUUCACAAGACUAUACAAGACGCUGAAUCCUAUGAUUACAAACAAAAAAACAAAACCAAACCUGUUUAGUAGGUAAACAGGGUUAUGUAGGCAGAAGACAUUUUCUUUUUUUAAAUUACUUUUUUCAAAUUCAUGAGCAUUUGAAGUGGCAGCCAGCUGAGUCACAAAAUUGCUUUUAAAAAAUUAUGAUUAUUUUGUAAUUAUAAAACUGCAUAUAUAAUACAUAUAAGUGGUUUCAAAAAUAUUAGAGAAACAAUACGUUAAGAAAUAGAUUAUUACCAGUCCCUAUGAAGUUCCCCUGUGUGUCCCUCCUCAUUCAAAUUUCUCUCCUCUCUCUAAAGGUAACUCCAACUUGAAUUUUACCACUUUUCUAUGUAUCCCCAAACAAUAUUGUUUAACUUCACCUUUUUCAAAUAUUAUACCAUUUGAAAUCAUUGUUUGCAACCUUCUGUGAAUUGCAUUUUUUCAUUAAAGAUAUUGAUAAAAUCAA
rnacentral:lncRNA from 1 species